CUGCCACUUUUCUAAAAAAAAAACUCAAAACCCUUCCCCUUUUUCUCUCAAACCUCCUUUCCCCUCUCCAAAAAUCCGGCCGAGAGCCACCGCACCGGCCUCCGAUCGCCGGUGCCGGCGCCACCGUGCACGGCGGCGGGGAGACUAAAAGUCUCCCUCCUUCUCUCCGAUGACUCUCCUCGGCCCCCUGAACGCUCCGGCGGCGACCAAAAGGUUGGAGACGUGCUGCGGUAGUGGUGACAGAGAGCAGGUGGAGCAGAGGGUAGGUGGCUGAGGUUAGGGGCGCGGCGCUAGAGGCAGAGACUAGGGUUUCAUGUUUUGGGCUUAGUGGGCUGCUAGGGUUUUGAUAAUUGGGCUGAUUGGGUUUGGGUUGUAAUUGGGUUAGUUUAGGUGGGUAUUGGUGCAGGCCUGGGUAAAUUUGGGCUUCUACAGUAUGACAACGCAUUUUACAAAACAUGUUUUUCUUUUAUACUUUGACACUUUAGUUUCUUUAGUCAAAUGGUUGUGUCCUAGGCUCGAUUUCUUUCCUA